CGAAAAGCCCAUUUCGUUUUCUUCUUCAAAUCCCUAGCUCCAUCUCACUCACAAAUCCCUAGCUCCAUCUCACACUACUCCAAUUCAGUGCAACGGCCUUUUUCCUCAGUAAGUUGUACAGUGACUAUCUCCAAGCCCUAAGAAGGUCUGGUGGAAGCUGCACUGAUCAUAGCUUCUCCAUUGAAAUGCUUAGGACCUUCUCCACAUCUCAGGUCAUGGUCAGGAGGCAGAGAACAGCUUUCCCACCGAAUUUUGUUCACUCGCUCGAUUGUUCUCAUAUGAUGAUGCCAAAUAUUUUGUUCACCGAAUUUUCUCCUCAUUUGAAAUGCCUCACCUCAUGCAUCUGUCGGUCUCCUUAACAUGCAGCCAUACUUCUGUGCACAUGAAUAUUAAGGGAAAUAGAGGGCACAGAGACUCCUCGAGGAACAUGCUACUGCACCAGAUACAUCUUAUCUGAUGUGAGAAAGUUAUCAUAGGUAUGAUGUCCAUUCACUUUGCAAAAAAGCCUUGAGCUCAGACCUAGACAGUAGUAGACAUACCCCUUUGUACAGCUGAAAAGAAAAGCCCCAUUUCAUUUUCUUCUUCAUAUUCCCCUAUACACUCUCAAAUCUCUAGCUCUCUCUCACUCUAAUCUCUCUAUCUCUCAGUUUAAAUCAAACCCCAGACCCCAUUAUUCUUCCCCUCUCUCUCGUAUUCCUGUCUCCCUCUCACUCUAGCUCUCUCUGUCUCUCUCAUUCGAAGUUCACAUACCAACUUCUAACCGAAGGAACUCGGAAUCAUCUAGCCGAAAGGUAGUGAUUCCAAGAAAGGUGGUGGUGGAGGUUCGCAAGAUGGGAAGAUUGGGUCCAGCAAUGUCCUCACGAACCAGUACACACGGUCACACGUUGCGACUUCUGUCCAAAUUUCUUAGAUCGAUCAAUAGGCAAGCUAUUGAAGCUUAAACAAAAGAUUGCUUUAGCCACCUCAGCCAUCAAAUCUGUUUUCAGCCAAGAACAGCCCAAGCAGGAUGCGACUGACAAACUGGAGCGACUAAGGGAGAGGAUGAUCAAAGUGCGGGAGCUUUUUUGGGACAUUGAUUCAACAGAAUUUGUUAUUGUAACAAUUCCCACGAGCAAGACAUCAACUGUUUGUGAGCUCAAUUGGUUCUCAGUACAAGGCUUGACAUUUGAAGUUGUCUUGUGAUUAUCAACUGAUCUGUUGGAUUUACUUUCUGUGGAUCACAUUUGAUGUUUGAAGUCGUCUUAUGAUUGUGGUAGUUCAUGUCUUAUAAGAAAUAUACCCUUUUUUCAUAAUAA